UUUUAGCCCUGAUUGCAGCGGCAUCCUUUUUAAUGGUUGAGCCUAAAGGCGAAAGCAUUAAAAAGAUACAGCGGAAAGCAGGAAAUAGC
rnacentral:sRNA from 21 species